CGGGGCGUAGCGCAGCCUGGUAGCGCAUUUGCCUGGGGGCAAAGGGUCGUGGGUUCGAAUCCCGCCGUCCCGACCA
rnacentral:tRNA from 1 species